UACGGAGGAUCCAAGCGUUAUCCGGAUUCAUUGGGUUUAAAGGGUGCGUAGGCAGACUGAUAAGUCAGCGGUGAAAUCUCUCAGCUUAACUGAGAAACUGCCGUUGAUACUGUCAGUCUUGAGUACAGAUGAUGUGGGCGGAAUAUGACAUGUAGUGGUGAAAUACUUAGAUAUGUCAUAGAACACCGAUUGCGAAGGCAGCUCACAAAACUGUCACUGACGCUGAGGCACGAAAGCGUGGGGAUCAAACAGG
rnacentral:rRNA from 1 species